CGACAGUUAGACUGAUCCUUGUUUAAGAAAUGGGGCACCAGCAUUAAUGUUGCGGAGGCUGACGAAGCUCUAUGGGCGAAACAGUAUAUCUGGAAGAGCCGUUCCACAUUUCUUCAUGAAUCAUUUUUGAUUCGUGCAGAGUGUUUUUCUUUUCUGGACUUGCAGUGGGCGUUUAUCACUGAUUCAGCAUUGAACAUCCUGCCAUUGAGGAAUUUCACACUUCUUUGGACACUACGUCUUAUGCAGUGUUUUGGCCAUUUGCCAUUUCCAUCUGGAUUUUGAACUUGUUAUGGGACUUUGCCCACUCCAUCCUGCAGUCCAUUUUGCCUACCUCACCCUCCUUCCUUAAUGCAUAUGCUUCUGUUUAGAUAUUUCAUAUUGUGAGAAGGUUUUUUGUACAUUGUUUAUUAUGUUCAUGUCAUGGAUCAUUAAUCAUUGAUUGUACACUUUUUCACUAUUUUUGAAUAUAUUUCUUUCUUAUUUUGAAUAUACAUAUUUCUUACAUUGUUA